rnacentral:rRNA from 1 species
AACGAACGCUGGCGGCGUGCCUAAUACAUGCAAGUCGAGCGGACAGAAGGGAGCUUGCUCCCGGAAGUUAGCGGCGGACGGGUGAGUAACACGUGGGCAACCUACCCUGUAGAUCGGGAUAACAUCGAGAAAUCGGUGCUAAUACCGGAUAAUCAUUUGAAGUGCAUGCUUCGAAUGUAAAAGAUGGCUCCGGCUAUCACUACGGGAUGGGCCCGCGGCGCAUUAGCUAGUUGGUAAGGUAAUGGCUUACCAAGGCAACGAUGCGUAGCCGACCUGAGAGGGGGAUCGGCCACACUGGGACUGGGACACGGCCCAGACUCCUACGGGAGGCAGCAGUAGGGAAUCUUCCGCAAUGGACGAAAGUCUGGCGGAGCAACGCCGCGUGAGUGAUGAAGGUUUUCGGAUCGUAAGGCUCUGUUGUUAGGGAAGAACAAGUGCCGUUUGAAUAAGGCGGCACCUUGACGGUACCUAACCAGAAAGCCACGGCUAACUACGUGCCAGCCGCCGCGGUAAGAC